GCCGGAUUAGCUCAGUUGGUAGAGCAGCGCAUUCGUAAUGCGAAGGUCGUAGGUUCGACUCCUAUAUCCGGCACCA
rnacentral:tRNA from 6 species